AACCUCAAAAAAAGAUGUGAGAAAGAGGGUUGGGAAAGCUGACAGAUCUGCUAUGGCAGAGCUUCUAAAGAAGAAAAAGACUGAAGACCAGCGGAACCAUGAAGCACACACAACAAGCAAACUUCCCUGCACUUCCAUGGGCCAAGUACGUGCACGCAUGGGCCAGAAGCUGAAAGAUGUCCGCGCAUCUCGAAGACGUGCAGAAAAGCAGGUUUAAGUGUGAUACCUUUUUUUUGUUUGGAAAUAAGCCUUAAUAUUGCCUCAUACGAGUCAUUAAAAAACCCAUUUUAUUCUGAU